CCUACGGGUGGCAGCAGUGGGGGAUAUUGCACAAUGGGGGAAACCCUGAUGCAGCGACGCCGCGUGUGGGAAGACGGUCCUCUGGAUUGUAAACCACUGUCGCCAGGGACGAAGAUGACGGUACCUGGGGAGGAAGCUCCGGCUAACUACGUGCCAGCAGCCGCGGUAAUACGUAGGGAGCGAGCGUUGUCCGGAAUUACUGGGUGUAAGGGGAGCGUAGGCGGGACUGCAAGUUGGGUGUCAAAUCUACCGGCUCAACCGGUAGCCGCACUCAAAACUGCAGUGCUUGAGUGAAGUAGAGGCAGGCGGAAUUCCUAGUGUAGCGGUGAAAUGCGUAGAUAUUAGGAGGAACACCAGUGGCGAAGGCGGCCUGCUGGGCUUUUACUGACGCUGAGGCUCGAAAGUGUGGGGAGCAAACAGGAUUAGAUACCCCAGUAGUC
rnacentral:rRNA from 1 species